rnacentral:rRNA from 1 species
UUCUGGUUGAUCCUGCCGGCGGCCACCGCUAUUGGAAUUCGAUUAAGACUUGCGAGUCGAGAGUCGCAAGGACUCGGCGGACCGCUCAGUAACACGCGGAUAACAUGCCCUUGGGUGGGGGAUAACCUCGGGAAACUGAGAAUAAUACCCCAUAGAUCUAGAAAGCUGGAAUGCUUUUAGAUCGAAAACUCCGGUGCCCAAGGAUUGGUCUGCGGCGUAUCAGGUUGUAGUGGGUGUAACGGACCCCCUAGCCUAUGACGCGUAAGGGCCUUGAGAGAGGGAGCCCUGAGAUGGACUCUGAGACAUGAGUCCAGGCCCUACGGGGCGCAGCAGUCGCGAAAACUUCACAAUGGGGGAAACCCCGAUGAGGGAAUUCCAAGUGCCAGCACAUUGUGUUGGCUGUUCUCUGGUCUAAAAAACCGGAGAAGUAAGGGCCGGGUAAGACGGGUGCCAGCCGCCGCGGUAAUACCCGCGGCCCGAGUGGUGGUCGAUAUUAUUGAGCCUAAAACGUCCGUAGCCGGUUUUGUAAAUCCUUGGGUAAAUCGACCAGCUUAACUGUUCGAAGUCCGGGGAGACUGUAAGACUUGGGAUCGGGAGAGGUGAGAGGUACUUCUGGGGUAGGGGUAAAAUCCUGUAAUCCUAGAAGGACCACCGGUGGCGAAGGCGUCUCACUAGAACGAAUCCGACGGUGAGGGACGAAGCCCUGGGGCGCAAACGGGAUUAGAUACCCCGGUAGUCCAGGGUGUAAACGCUGCGGGCUUGGUGUUGGGGGUCCUUUGAGGGCGCCCAGUGCCGGAGAGAAGUUGUUAAGCCUGCUGCUUGGGGAGUACGUCCGCAAGGAUGAAACUUAAAGGAAUUGGCGGG